GGACGUCGAAGGUGGGGCUGAUGACUGGGGUGAAGUCGUAACAAGGUAUCCGUACCGGAAGGUGCGGAUGGAUCACCUCCUAACAGGGAGACAAAACAAUGAUUUUGAUGUCUGAGUAUUUCAUUCUUAGGCCGAAAUCCUGUCACCUUAGGUCGAUCGGUACCUCAACAUUUUUCCAAAGAUUGGUGAGCAAUCAUCAAGAGAUUGGAAGGGAUGUUCAGUUCCUAAACUUUGUCUAGGUCACACCCCGCAAGGGAAGAGUCCCCUGGGCCAUUAGCUCAGGUGGUUAGAGCGCACCCCUGAUAAGGGUGAGGUCCCUGGUUCAAGUCCAGGAUGGCCCAUUCGGUGUUGGGGGUUUAGCUCAGUUGGUAGAGCGCCUGCUUUGCAAGCAGGAUGUCAGGAGUUCGAGUCUCCUAACCUCCACUGACAGAACUCAAUCUCCAUUGUCCGGUAACUCGGAGGAUGAACUCAAAGGUGUGUGAUUUAGAUGUGUCCACUAGAUAGGACCCUAGCUUCCUGUCAUUCCGAACAAGUGAUUAUUGCUUGAUUGGCUGAUAUGAUGCUGGGCUCAAAUUAAUCAAAAGAUUAAUUUGAUCUCUAGUAGAACCUUGACAACUGCAUAAGUAAGUCUGGAAAAACGAAGCAUCUUACAGAUGCAUUGUUUUAAGUCUGAAUUCUCGAAAGAGAGUUUGGAUCUAGAAUGAUGAAAAUUCUUUUAAGCAAGAGCCGAGACUCUUAGAUGUUCUUUUUAUCGUGUCGAGCGAUAAAGAGUUUGAUUUUGUUUUUAUGAGCAGCGAAAGUUGCUGAUGAAACCAGAAGAAUCUGCUUUCAACCGCAGUAAGCGUUUAAGAGGUUAAUUGGUCAAGCUACAAAGGGCUCAC
rnacentral:misc_RNA from 1 species